AUUGAGGAAGCCUUCUCUGUCUUCUCUAAGGCAGAGGUAGGUGCCUCUAUCCACAGCAGGGGAAGAAGCAGCCCAUAUACAGCUAAACAUGGAGAGAUUCAGUCCUGCAGCACAGAAAAAAUAUACACAGUUCUAUGGGUGGGUGAAAGUGACUCUACAUGGUUUUGUUUAUACAAGAUACAGAUGUGACUUCAAGGUGUUGCAUUCAACCUCCUUUAGGUAAGUGAAAGGAAAGACUACAAAGAAGAAAUCUUUGGCCUAUAUCAAACAAAGAGAGAAGUUCUUAAAA
rnacentral:lncRNA from 1 species